GGUUCCUGACGCUGAGGUGCGAAAGCUAGGGGAGCGAACGGGAUUAGAUACCCCGGUAGUCCUAGCCGUAAACGAUGACCACUAGGCGUGUGGGGUAUCGACCCCCUACGUGCCGACUCUAACGAAGUAAGUGGUCCGCCUGGGGAGUACGGUCGCAAGAUUAAAACUCAAAGGAAUUGACGGGGACCCGCACAAGCAGCGGAGCGUGUGGUUUAAUUCGAUGCAACGCGCAGAACCUUACCAGGGUUUGACAUGGCUCUGAUCGGGCGAGAAAUCGCCUUGCCUUCGGGACAGAGUCACAGGUGCUGCAUGGUUGUCGUCAGCUCGUGCCGUGAGGUGUUGGGUUAAGUCCCGCAACGAGCGCAACCCCUGUCGUCGGUUACGGGUGUCCGACGAGACUGCCGCGAUCAACGUGGAGGAAGGUGGGGAUGACGUCAAGUCAGCACGGCCCUUACAUCCUGGGCGACACACACGCUACAAUGGCUGGGACAAAGAGCGGCCAACCUGCGAAGGGGAGCUAAUCUCACAAACCCGGUCUCAGUUCAGAUUAGAGGCUGCAACCCGCCUCUAUGAAGUGGGAGUUGCUAGUAACCGUAGGUCAGCACACUACGGUGAAUACGUUCCCGGGUCUUGUACACACCGCCCGU
rnacentral:rRNA from 1 species